rnacentral:rRNA from 1 species
UACGAAGGUCCCAAGCGUUGUUCGGAAUCACUGGGCGUAAAGGGAGCGUAGGCGGCGUGGUAAGUCAGAUGUGAAAUCCCGGGGCUCAACCUCGGAACUGCAUCCGAUACUGCCAUGCUAGAGGGUUGGAGAGGUAGCUGGAAUUCUUGGUGUAGCAGUGAAAUGCGUAGAGAUCAAGAGGAACACUCGUGGCGAAAGCGAGCUACUGGACAAUAACUGACGCUGAGGCUCGAAGGCUAGGGUAGCGAAAGGG